AGAAUGGGACGAUUUAGCCAUGCUAGUCGCACGAGUUCAGACUCGUGGCGAAUAGCUCAGUAACACGUGGCCAAACUACCCUUCGGAACACAAUACCCUCGGGAAACUGAGGCUAAUAGUGUAUACCAUACCACCACUGGAAUGAGUGGUAUGCCAAACGCUCCGGCGCCGAAGGAUGUGGCUGCGGCCGAUUAGGUAGACGGUGGGGUAACGGCCCACCGUGCCAAUAAUCGGUAUGGGUCAUGAGAGUGAGAACCCAGAGACGGAAUCUGAGACAAGAUUCCGGGCCCUACGGGGCGCAGCAGGCGCGAAACCUUUACACUGCACGACAGUGCGAUAGGGGGAUCCCAAGUGCACAGGCAUAGCGCCUGUGCUUUUCGGUACCCUAAGGCGGUACCAGAAUAAGGGCUGGGCAAGACCGGUGCCAGCCGCCGCGGUAAUACCGGCAGCCCAAGUGAUGGCCGAUCUUAUUGGGCCUAAAGCGUCCGUAGCUGGCCGCGCAAGUCCAUCGGGAAAUCCACCUGCUCAACAGGUGGGCGCCCGGUAGAAACUGCGUGGCUUGGGACCGGAAGGCGCGACGGGUACGUCCGGGGUAGGAGUGAAAUCCCGUAAUCCUGGACGGACCGCCGAUGGCGAAAGCACGUCGCGAGAACGGAUCCGACAGUGAGGGACGAAAGCCAGGGUCUCGAACCGGAUUAGA
rnacentral:rRNA from 1 species